UACGAAGGGUGCAAGCGUUACUCGGAAUUACUGGGCGUAAAGCGUGCGUAGGUGGUUUGUUAAGUCUGUUGUGAAAGCCCCGGGCUCAACCUGGGAAUGGCAAUGGAUACUGGCAAGCUAGAGUGCGGUAGAGGUAGUGGAAUUCCCGGUGUAGCGGUGAAAUGCGUAGAGAUCGGGAGGAACACCAGUGGCGAAGGCGGCUACCUGGGACCAGUACUACACUG
rnacentral:rRNA from 1 species